rnacentral:lncRNA from 1 species
AGAUCACCAUAUUACUUACAGGCAACUCACUGUGCUUUAGUACCAGACUACUUGAAUUUUUAAUUCAAUGAUGAAAGAUUUUUGGGUACAGUCAAGUACUUGCAAAGUCGGUGUGUGAGUUAAGAUGGAAUUGACCUCUCUGAAUAAGUAGAAGUUAAUAUAUCAGUGUAUUUUAAUUUAGUAAAAUCUCGAUCGGAGUAAUCCAUGUGAUGGAUUUGAAAAAUUAAAAUAUAAUGUGAAUGAUC